GAUGAACGCUGGCGGCGUGCCUAAUACAUGCAAGUCGAGCGAAUGGAUUAAGAGCUUGCUCUUAUGAAGUUAGCGGCGGACGGGUGAGUAACACGUGGGUAACCUGCCCAUAAGACUGGGAUAACUCCGGGAAACCGGGGCUAAUACCGGAUAACAUUUUGAACCGCAUGGUUCGAAAUUGAAAGGCGGCUUCGGCUGUCACUUAUGGAUGGACCCGCGUCGCAUUAGCUAGUUGGUGAGGUAACGGCUCACCAAGGCAACGAUGCGUAGCCGACCUGAGAGGGUGAUCGGCCACACUGGGACUGAGAUACGGCCCAGACUCCUACGGGAGGCAGCAGUAGGGAAUCUUCCGCAAUGGACGAAAGUCUGACGGAGCAACGCCGCGUGAGUGGUGAAGGCUUUCGGGUCGUAAAACUCUGUUGUUAGGGAAGAACAAGUGCUAGUUGAAUAAGCUGACACCUUGACGGUACCUAACCAGAAAGCCACGGCUAACUACGUGCCAGCCGCCGCCGUAA
rnacentral:rRNA from 1 species